CUGGCCGUAAACGAUGGAUACUAGGUGUUGGCGGUUUCGACCCCGUCAGUGCCGCAGCUAACGCGAUAAGUAUCCCGCCUGGGGAGUACGACCGCAAGGUUGAAACUCAAAGGAAUUGACGGGGGCCCGCACAAGCGGUGGAACAUGUGGUUUAAUUCGAUGCAACGCGAAGAACCUUACCUGGGCUUGACAUCUAGAGAAUCCCUUAGAGAUAGGGGAGUGCCGCAAGGAACUCUAAGACAGGUGG
rnacentral:rRNA from 1 species